rnacentral:rRNA from 1 species
CAAGUCGAGCGGUAGAGAGAAGCUUGCUUCUCUUGAGAGCGGCGGACGGGUGAGUAAUGCCUAGGAAUCUGCCUGGUAGUGGGGGAUAACGUUCGGAAACGGACGCUAAUACCGCAUACGUCCUACGGGAGAAAGCAGGGGACCUUCGGGCCUUGCGCUAUCAGAUGAGCCUAGGUCGGAUUAGCUAGUUGGUGAGGUAAUGGCUCACCAAGGCUACGAUCCGUAACUGGUCUGAGAGGAUGAUCAGUCACACUGGAACUGAGACACGGUCCAGACUCCUACGGGAGGCAGCAGUGGGGAAUAUUGGACAAUGGGCGAAAGCCUGAUCCAGCCAUGCCGCGUGUGUGAAGAAGGUCUUCGGAUUGUAAAGCACUUUAAGUUGGGAGGAAGGGUUGUAGAUUAAUACUCUGCAAUUUUGACGUUACCGACAGAAUAAGCACCGGCUAACUCUGUGCGAGCAGCCGCGGUAAUACAGAGGGUGCAAGCGUUAAUCGGAAUUACUGGGCGUAAAGCGCGCGUAGGUGGUUUGUUAAGUUGGAUGUGAAAUCCCCGGGCUCAACCUGGGAACUGCAUUCAAAACUGACUGACUAGAGUAUGGUAGAGGGUGGUGGAAUUUCCUGUGUAGCGGUGAAAUGCGUAGAUAUAGGAAGGAACACCAGUGGCGAAGGCGACCACCUGGACUAAUACUGACACUGAGGUGCGAAAGCGUGGGGAGCAAACAGGAUUUAGAUACCCUGGUAGCCACGCCGUAAACGAUGUCAACUAGCCGUUGGAAGCCUUGAGCUUUUAGUGGCGCAGCUAACGCAUUAAGUUGAUCGCCUGGGGGAGUACAGCCGCAAGGUAAAACUCAAAUGAAUUGACGG